rnacentral:rRNA from 1 species
UACGUAGGGUCCGAGCGUUGUCCGGAAUUAUUGGGCGUAAAGGGCUCGUAGGCGGUUGGUCACGUCGGGAGUGAAAACUCAGGGCUCAACCCUGAGCGUGCUUCCGAUACGGGCCGACUAGAGGUAUGCAGGGGGAGAACGGAAUUCCUGGUGUAGCGGUGGAAUGCGCAGAUAUCAGGAGGAACAGCCGGUGGCGAAGGCGGUUCUCUGGGCAUUACCUGACGCUGAGGAGCGAAAGCAUGGGGAGCGAACAGG